rnacentral:tRNA from 1 species
AGUAAAGUCAGCUAAUUAAGCUCUUGGGCCCAUACCCCAAAAAUGUUGGUUUAACCCUUCCUUUACUA